GAUGAAGAACGUAGUGAAAUGCGAUAAGUAAUGUGAAUUGCAGAAUUCAGUGAAUCAUCGAAUCUUUGAACGCACAUUGCGCCCGCCAGUAUUCUGGCGGGCAUGCCUGUUCGAGCGUCAUUUCAACCCUCAAGCCCCAGCGGCCUGGUGUUGGGGACCGGCGACCUCGCCCGAGCCCGCCCUCCGGGGCGCGUGCCCGGUGCGUCCGCCGCCCCCGAAAUGAAUUGGCGGCCUCGUCGCGGCCUCCUCUGCGUAGUAGCACAACCUCGCAAGCGGGAGCGCGACGCGGCCACUGCCGUAAAACGCCCAACUUUUUUAGAGUUGACCUCGGAUCAGGUAGGAAUACCCGCUGAACUUAAGCAUAUCAAUAAGCGGAGGA
rnacentral:misc_RNA from 1 species